rnacentral:misc_RNA from 1 species
UACUCUCGUCUCCUCUUUGUCUUCUCUUAGGCUUUCAACCGAAGCGCAAAGUGAUUCCAUAAGGAUUCCUACCGUAGGAAGAAAAAAUAAAAUUUGAUCUCAUAUUGGAUUCGAAGCGGCUGUAGAAUUAUUCCAUGCAACUCUUUCCACGGGCGGCAUCGCACAUGAACGUAGAGGACGGCGACGUCGACGACGACGAAGAGUUAACCCUCGAUUUAACCGACGCGAAGAUACGCAGAUAAGAAAGGAUCGGAGCGGA